GACGAACGCUGGCGGCGUGCUUAACACAUGCAAGUCGAACGAUGAAGGAGGAGCUUGCUCCUCUGGAUUAGUGGCGAACGGGUGAGUAACACGUGAGCAAUCUGCCCUUGACUCUGGGAUAAGCGCUGGAAACGGCGUCUAAUACCGGAUACGACCCUCGGAGGCAUCUCCUGUGGGUGGAAAGAACUUCGGUCAAGGAUGAGCUCGCGGCCUAUCAGCUUGUUGGUGAGGUAAUGGCUCACCAAGGCGACGGCGGGUAGCCGGCCUGAGAGGGGGACCGGCCACACUGGGACUGAGACACGGCCCAGACUCCGACGGGAGGCAGCAGUGGGGAAUAUUGCACAAUGGGCGCAAGCCUGAUGCAGCAACGCCGCGUGAGGGACGACGGCCUUCGGGUUGUAAACCUCUUUUAGCAGGGAAGAAGCGAGAGUGACGGUACCUGCAGAAAAAGCACCGGCUAACUACGUGCCAGCCGCCGCCGUAACAC
rnacentral:rRNA from 1 species